rnacentral:rRNA from 1 species
CAGUAGCCGCGGUAAAACGAAGGGUGCAAGCGUUAAUCGGAAUUACUGGGCGUAAAGCGUGCGUAGGCGGUUUGUUAAGUCUGUUGUGAAAUCCCCGGGCUCAACCUGGGAAUGGCAAUGGAUACUGGCAAGCUAGAGUGUGUCAGAGGAUGGUGGAAUUCCCGGUGUAGCGGUGAAAUGCGUAGAGAUCGGGAGGAACAUCAGUGGCGAAGGCGGCCAUCUGGGACAACACUGACGCUGAGGCACGAAAGCGUGGGGAGCAAACAGGAUUAGAUACCCCUGUAGUCCCUGUCUCUUAUAC